UGCCAGCCGCCGCGGUAAUACGGAGGGUGCAAGCGUUAAUCGGAAUUACUGGGCGUAAAGCGCAUGCAGGCGGUUUGUUAAGCGAGAUGUGAAGGAGUACAGCUUAACUGUAUAUGGGCAGUGGAAACUACAAGACUGGAGUGUGGUAGGGGUAGAGGGAAUUCCCGGUGUAGCGGUGAAAUGCGUAGAUAUCGGGAAGAACACCAACGGCGAAAGCACUCUACUGGGCCAACACUGACACUGAGAGACGAAAGCUAAGGGAGCGAAAAGGAUUAGAUA
rnacentral:rRNA from 1 species